UGGAAUGCCUAACACAUGCAAGUCGAACGAAGNUACAAGAGCUUGCUCUUCGAAGCUUAGUGGCGGACGGGUGAGUAACGCGUGAGCAAUCUGCCUUUAGGAGGGGGAUAACAGUUGGAAACGACUGCUAAUACCGCAUAAUGUUAUUGAGUCGCAUGAUUUGAUAACCAAAGUUUUUUCGCCUAAAGAUGAGCUCGCGUCUGAUUAGCUAGUUGGCGGGGUAAUGGCCCACCAAGGCGACGAUCAGUAGCCGGACUGAGAGGUUGAACGGCCACAUUGGGACUGAGACACGGCCCAGACUCCUACGGGAGGCAGCAGUGGGGAAUAUUGCGCAAUGGGGGAAACCCUGACGCAGCAAUUCCGCGUGGAGGAUGACGGUUUUCGGAUUGUAAACUCCUUUGAUCAGGGAAGAAUAAAUGACGGUACCUGAAGAACAAGCACCGGCUAACUACGUGCCAGCAGCCGCGGUAAUACGUAGGGUGCAAGCGUUAUCCGGAUUUACUGGGUGUAAAGGGCGAGUANGCGGGACUGCAAGUCANAAGUGAAAUCUGGGGGCUCAACCCCCAAACUGCUUUUGAAACUGU
rnacentral:rRNA from 1 species